AUUAUCCCUAGAGGCUUUGCAAGAGUGGCUACUGUGUCACAUGUCCUUCCGUAGGUGACAGAGAGAAGAGAGGCUAUGUCUAUGCUCAGUUUCCUGACCUAUGGAUAUCUGAAUGGUUAGUAGUUUAACAUU